rnacentral:rRNA from 1 species
UACGUAGGGUGCGAGCGUUGUCCGGAAUUACUGGGCGUAAAGAGCUCGUAGGUGGUUUGUCGCGUUGUCCGUGAAAACUCACAACUCAAUUGUGGGCGUGCGGGCGAUACGGGCAGACUGGAGUACUGCAGGGGAGACUGGAAUUCCUGGUGUAGCGGUGGAAUGCGCAGAUAUCAGAAGGAACGCCGGUGACGAAAGCGACUCUCUGGCCCGAAUCUGACGCUGAGGCGCGAAAGCUUGGGUAGCAAACGGG